rnacentral:sRNA from 1 species
GCUAUAGGUGGUGGCCUGUGGUCCCAGCUGCACAGGAGGCUGAGGUGGGAGGAUCUCUUGAGCCCAAGAGAUGAGACCAGCCUGGGCACCACAGGGAGACCCCACCUCAA